UUAACCGACUGAGCCACCCAGACUCCCUGUCACCCCCUUUCUAAACUAGGUAGGAGAGGUGAAGACAAAAGCAGAAGAGGGUCUGCAAAUCACAGGUGCUUAGUACCUGUGUAAGACGAGAUCCCUUUUCUGACCUUGGACGAGCUACCUGAUCAGGCCUGUAUUAAUUUUCAAGCAGCAUACAGGACACGGACAGAAAUCCCUAGAGGGCUCAAGAGCCUUCCUCAACAAGAUGCUAACACAUUCAAAGCAUGCAGAUGAACUGUGCCUGGGAUUACCCUUGAGUAAAUUUAAUCACUAUAACUUAUGAAGGACAUGGAGUUGUUUGGGUCUGAAUUGUAAAGAGUGGUUAUGUUUUAUGAUUUUGGUAGAAAUUUGCCAUUAUACUAUUUAAUUUUGGGAAUGUUUGUGUGACUUAACAAUUUCUAUCAUCCCAUCCUAUUAUUCAUCAGUUGCCUGAACUUCCCUCAGGGUGGUAGCCUGGAGAUACCAGAAGAGGCCUUGUUGGAGAACUAGAAGUUAGUAGUCACAUGGAAACUAGAUUUCAGUGAGAGAAGAUUCUGCAAGACAAAGGCAGGGAUCAAGGCUAGAGGGUCUGGGACAGGAUACAAAGUUUAGUCAGUCUUGAGUGGGGCCAGAGACCUUACUUUGAGGUCACAGGUCUGGAUGCAGGAGAUCAUGGAGAAGGUGCAAUUAUAGCUUUGAAAGACCCUAGGAAAGAACUUACCUGGAAAAGAAGGAAGAAUGAGCUCAAAAACACACAACUACAAGGUAAGAGCAGAAAAUCUUUAUGGUGAAAAGUAGAAAUGCU
rnacentral:lncRNA from 1 species